rnacentral:rRNA from 1 species
UACGGGGGGGGCAAGCGUUGUUCGGAAUUACUGGGCGUAAAGGGCUCGUAGGUGGCCAACUAAGUCAGACGUGAAAUCCCUCGGCUUAACCGGGGAACUGCGUCUGAUACUGGAUGGCUUGAGUUUGGGAGAGGGAUGCGGAAUUCCAGGUGUAGCGGUGAAAUGCGUAGAUAUCAGGAGGAACACCGAUGGCGAAGGCAGUUCUCUGGGCCGUAACUGACGCUGAGGAGCGAAAGCGUGGGGAGCGAACAGG